rnacentral:rRNA from 1 species
CAGCCGCCGCGGUAAUACGUAGGUGGCAAGCGUUGUCCGGAAUUAUUGGGCGUAAAGGGUGUGCAGACGGCUUAUUAAGUCACUUGUUAAAUUCUUCGGCCUAACUGAAGGUCUGCAAGUGAUACUGAUGAGCUAGAGGGUAGAAGAGAGAAGUGGAAUUCUCGGAGUAGCGGUAAAAUGCGUAGAUCUCGAGAGGAACACCAAUGGCGAAGGCAGCUUCUUGGUCCAUUCCUGACGUUCAUACACGAAAGCGUGGGGAGCAAACAGGAUUAGAUACCCCAGUAGUCCCUGUCUCUUAUAC